rnacentral:ncRNA from 1 species
CUUAUCGAGAGUGACGGAGGGAACAGGCCCUUUGAAGUCCGGCAACCUGCAUUGCAAGGUGCUAAAUCCUGCGGUAUUAACCGAAAGAUGAG